UACGUAGGGGGCAAGCGUUGUCCGGAUUUAUUGGGCGUAAAGAGCGUGUAGGCGGCCAGGUAGGUCAGCUGUGAAAACUCGAGGCUCAACCUCGAGACGUCGGUUGAAACCACCUGGCUAGAGUCCGGAAGAGGAGAGUGGAAUUCCUGGUGUAGCGGUGAAAUGCGCAGAUAUCAGGAAGAACACCCGUGGCGAAGGCGGCUCUCUGGGACGGU
rnacentral:rRNA from 1 species